GCCAGCAUAGCUUUAAUUGGCAGAGCUCCUGAUUUGUAAUCAGGCGGUUGGGGGUUCGAGUCCCUCUGCUGGCUCCA
rnacentral:tRNA from 1 species